UCUCUUUUGAUUGUAUAAAAGAUCAAUUAAUGGGGCCCAGCGCAAUGCUGUUGCCCACUAUCUCAAUGUUUGUCCGUAUUGUUUUUUAUAAACUUGUUUUAAAAUCUUGUUGAUAUAAGGGGAAAUCUCAUUUUACUUUUAAAGGGGAAUACAAAAGUAACCCAAUCUAAGAUUCAUUCUAAAUUGACGAGUUAGUGAAAAAUAGAAAAGUUGAUAGAAUAGCUCUGCUGUUUCAUCCGCCAGGUCUUGGAUAUUUUCGAGAUCAUCGCGUCGGUGCACUCCCCACGUAUACUAUACUCGAACGCCAUGAUCAUCACUUUCAUUACAUUUUCAAAUCCAUGGAUUUAUAUAUACUUACCAUUGCUUUUAUAUUUUAGCUAUUGUGGCUAGAUUUAGUCUCGUUCCCGCCAUUAGAAGUGCUAAAGUUCUGCAACAGUCGAGUCUGACCAGCAAAGCAAAUAUGCAAACUUCCACGUUUAGCUGCUUAAUUUAAAAUUCGUGAUAAGGCACAAACAUGCAGGACACUCCAAAAGUCAAAAACGAAGGGGUCAAGCGAGAGCAUGCAGGACACUCCAAAAGUCAAGAAACAAGCUGGCAGGAACGCAGGGACAAGUGGCCGAAGCAAGAAAGGGAGCCAAAGUCGAAGGGGUCAAGCGAGAGCACACUCCAAAAGUCUAGAACCAAGGGACCCGAAAUCAGAGACAUUAUUAGGGUUACAGGAUCAACAGGUAGGGAAGGACCAGUUGGCCAAUGGAAGAGAGAGAGCCGAAGCCACUAGGAUCAGCAGGUGGAGCGGUAAAUUAGGUGGCAGAGUGAAAUUAUCGGAAAGCGUCGAUUGAUCCGGAUCAGCAAGUAAAGUGAAACAACGGUCAAGAUAAGAUCUGACAGCAGUCGAGAAAAGCUUGAAAAAAAAUCAAAAGCAGGGCAGUCAAGAAAAAUAGAAUCCGGAAAAAUCAGGGUGAAAUCAAUAUAAUAAAAUGGGGUGAUUAUAAAAACAGUCGAGAAAAAAAAUCAAAAGCAAGCCCACUCCAGCAGUAGAGAAAAAUAGAAACCAGAAAUCAGGACGGAAUGAAUAAAAAAUCGAGCCAUAUUGUUUAUUGUACGCACCACCAAAAAAUCACUUGUAAAACAUACUUCCGUAGGCACUAAUGAAGAGACGCAGUAAAUUUCGCGUGCGAUGUACCUUUUUAUGCAAUA